rnacentral:lncRNA from 1 species
AUUUGCAUCUUAGCAUGAAGGAAAGAGACUUGUUCUAAAGUGUUUCGAGUGUUGUCGCGUUCAUAACCAAAAAUGUUUGGGUGGCUGUGGUUUCUGAUUCCGAUUUUUUACUACGAAAUAUACAAAAUUGAAUCCUCAUCCGGGCUAUAUUAAUUUAAAAACAAUUGAGACAGAUACUGAUUAAGGAAAAUCAAUUGCACUGUCAAUAGAAAUAACAAAGACCAAGUAAUGAUUGAGAAAUAGACCAAGUUGAUGUUCAGUGUUACAGCGAUGGAGAAGCACAGGAGAUAACCAUGUAAUUGACAGAGCUUGCUUGCUCUUGUAAAGCGGAUACAAACCAAGAAUAGAGUGGGGGAUUAAUUCUACAUUUAUAGGCCUGACCAAGUAUAUUGUUGUAAUCAGUAGAGGAUUUGACGUGCCUUUAUAUUAGGGCGCGGUGGCCAGGUGUGUUUUUUUUUAAAUUCCGUAGCUUUGAUCCUCUCUAUCACCUCAAUCUUUUGUGAUGCAGCUAUUCACAUUUCUAUUCAAAUUCUUCUACGAUGCAGUUAAUGCUGAUUUCUAACAUACCUUUUUCAUUUUAUGGAAAUAAAAAAACCUCAUAGAUGUAACGAGACUGGAAUUCUUGGAUUCGUUUUUUUUUCUCUACGAGUAAAAGGAUAACAGAGAAUAUCAAUGAACAAUAAAAGCAUCAGUUUAUAAUUUGAUAAAAAAUUUUAUUAGAAAAAGUCGCAGUGAUUUCCAUGAUGAUGAUGAUGAGAAUUCUUAAAUAGAUGAGCAGAUGUGUGGAGUACAUCGAUACAUCAAGUGACCUCAAAUUACGUCACAUCCGUCCCUUGCUGUAUUAGAGCAGACUGCCCACAGCCCACAGCCUUGUCACGCUGUUGAGAUAAUAGAUCCAUUCGCUUGGAUCACGAACCAGGAUUGAACGUGCUUGGGACACUGGAAAUAAAUCAUUUAUCACAGCCCAUGUUAUAUUAUUUAAUUUGAUUAUAAAAGAGGGAAUGCUCUUUUUUUAUUCAAACCCUUGAUCUUGUAAAUUGGAAACAAUUACGAAUUAUGGAAAAGUUAUUUUUAUUUGGAUCUUUUCUUGAGUGUUGCUUCUCAUGAAUAAUAUGAAUGGUUAAUAGUUAAAAUGAUAUUUAGAGCUUGGGUAGACUUGUAAUGAUAAAUAAAUAAUUGGAUAUUUUGAACAAUAAUUCGAGAAGUAGAUCGAGGCUAUCGAGUUUGGCUGCAACCACUCUGCUAGACCUUGAUACUGUGUGGUCACGCGUUUCUGAGGAAAAUUAAAUGAUUAAAUAACACGUCUGCUGAGAUAACGACGUGUUUUUAUUAUAAAUGACAAAGUAAAAAAGAAAUAAUUAUUUUAUUGAGGAACGUAUAGAUAUGUUCCUCAUAUGAUUCAGACAGACGUAUCUCACAGAAGUGACUCUACAAUAUAUAUAUGUUCGUCUAUGCUGUACACUGAGAAAAAAAUUCACUGUGAACAAGUAAUAUUUUUUUCAAUUUAUUAUCUGAAUGUUGUUUCGUUGAAUUGAUCUUUUUUCUUUGAGAUCCAUGGUGGCUGAGAAAGUAAGAAUUUUCUCAAAAUUAAUUUUUUCUUUUUAAUUAAAGCAACUAAAGCUUCAGAAGAGGCUUAUAUUGGCAUGACAUUAUUUUGGGUAAAGAAAUCGAGUGCACUAAAAAUUUGGACAGUAUGAGAAUGAGAAAGGUAGAGAGUAGGAAAGUAUUUAAAACUGGGUACAUGUAGCGAAGCAGUUAGGGUUGACAAUGAUUAGAAAAAGAAUAAAAAAUGAAACUUUGAGGGCAUAGGCUUGUGGAAAGACAAAUAAAUGUUUGCAGGCUCUGCUACUGAAAUUAGCUAGAGUUAAUCUAAUGCCACUUCUAUUUAAAUAUUUAUUUUAUACUUGAUGUUUUUUUUAUUAAUUUAUUAUAUUAUUUAUUGUUAUAAUAUAAUAUAUUAAUAAUUAAUAA